rnacentral:rRNA from 1 species
UACGUAGGGGGCAAGCGUUGUCCGGAAUUAUUGGGCGUAAAGCGCGCGCAGGCGGCUUUGUAAGUUUGGUGUUUAAUCUCAGAGCUCAACUCUGAUUCGCAUCGAAAACUGCAAGGCUUGAGUGCAGAAGAGGAAAGUGGAAUUCCACGUGUAGCGGUGAAAUGCGUAGAGAUGUGGAGGAACACCAGUGGCGAAGGCGACUUUCUGGGCUGAUAACUGACGCUGAGGCACGAAGGCCAGGGGAGCAAACGGG